GUCAUGUUCCCUAUAGUACGUAUUAGUUUUGAAUUCCUGUAGUGAUAAUGUCAUUUCCUUUUGCUUCUUUCAUCAAAACAUUCCAGUUCAGUCACCAGAAUGUAGGAAAUUCAGGGUUAGAGAUUUUUCACUUCUGGACAUUCUGAGUGAUUUGGAAGGUCAUAAUGUGCUUCAUAGAGGAAGGAACUUAAUUUGGCCAAGUAAACCGACUUUGAGGGAAGAAAAAAGGGAGAUUUUACACUACUUGGACUACUAUAUAGACUCAUGAUGUCUUGCAGAUAGGAAACAUGAGUUUGCUGCACCUUUGUUUGUGAAACAGGCAAAGCCAAUGUUAAGAAAAAGAUUUUAUCUGAUGACAUCUGCAUUUUCUCAUCCUUGAAUACUGGCUAAAAAGGACCUUAUUUUCAUGUAGGAGGAGGCUAAAAUGGAAGGGGAUGCCAAAGAGCCCAAGACCGAGUUUCAGCUUCAGUUCCAUCCAUCUGCAAGUUCUCGGGAUCAUGAAAUUAGCGAAGAGCCUCCCAUUGGCCAUGUCAAUGACCAGCAAAACCAGAUCAAAGAGCAAGACUCGAUCCUUAUAAGUCUAGAUACACUUGCUCCACCAAGAACAUUUUCUGAUAGGUUCAAGACAUGCUUAGUGAGAAUAUUGGAAUGUAUCUGCAACCGCGACUUUCCUAGCUUUAAAGCUGAAAUUCUUUGAAGGUCGGAACAGAAGCAGCAUAUGAAGGAUAAUUCAGAAUUCGUGGAGAUGGAAAGACCAAGUCAAGUCUCGUCAUUUUGGUUGAUUGAAGAGCUAAGUGAUGGCAUCAAAAGAUAACUUUCAGACUCCUCUUGAUCAACCUCAAAGGCUACUACAGUCAAGGGACAAGUUUUCCGGAAAAAAGAACUCUAUGUUGCAUAGGAUUUUCCUCUGUGUUGGGUAUUCACUAUUCAUUUUCCAUUUGACCGUGGUAAGUCUAUCUCCUAGUGGAGUACAAAUUGAUUUCCAUGCGGCUCAACUAACAAAGUAUUUUCCAAUA